rnacentral:misc_RNA from 1 species
UCUCCGUAGGUGAACCUGCGGAAGGAUCAUUCAUAAUAAGUAUUUUAUGGCACUUUUUAAAUCCAUAUCCACCCGGUUUGCAAUGUCAGUCGUUCUCUUCGAUGGGAACGACCAAACAACAACCAGCUCUUUAACUAUUUGUCUGACAAUUAUUGCGUAUAAAAUAAUUCAAAAUACAACUUUCAACAACGGAUCUCUUGGCUCUC